UAGCGGGAAAAAUUAACAAAUUUUCUCAUCCGAACGACUUAUUCGUCGGUGCGGCCGGACCCCUCCGGAUUUGUUCCACAACUCAGAGGGACCGAUCGAAGUCGAACCAAUAUUCGAAGCUGGUUCAGGAAGGAAAUGGGACCCUGCAUUGAGCGAAGUAAGGCUUUCCAUUAUUUUUAUCAGUAGCUACAAAAUCCAACGGGUAAAUUAUCCCCCAAGGCAAGCUAUUAGCGGGAAUAUAGAUUGACCAUGAUGUGCAAAAAGGGAGACGAAGACUUUCCCAAUGAUAAAAAGCAUUUUGUAGCAAAUAAAUGAGGCAUAAAACAA